AUUUGUGUUCUGGUAUUUCUGCUUCAUCACUAACAGCACUAUCUUCAGGUUGGUGUUCUGGUGUUUCUGCAUUAUCAUCACCAGCACCAUCUUCAGGUUGGUGUUCUGGUGUUUCUGCAUUAUCACCACCAGCACUAUCUUCAGGUUGGUGUUCUGGUGUUUCUGUAUUAUCAACACCAGCACUAU